GCUGAAUACAACAGGUGUAGACUUUACAGUGAUAUGCUGAAUACAACAGGUGUAGGUAGACUUUACUGUGAAAUGCUGAAUACAACAGGUGUAGACUUUACAAUGAAAUGCUGAAUACAACAGGUGUAGACUUUACUGUGAUAUGCUGAAUACAACAGGUGUAGACUUUACAGUGAAAUGCUGAAUACAACAGGUGUAGACUUUACUGUGAUAUGCUGAAUACAACAGGUGUAGACUUUACUGUGAUAUGCUGAAUACAACAGGUGUAGACUUUACUGUGAUAUGCUGAAUACAACAGGUGUAGACUUUACAGUGAUAUGCUGAAUACAACAGGUGUAGACUUUACUGUGAUAUGCUGAAUACAACAGGUGUAGACUUUACUGUGAUAUGCUGAAUACAACAGGUGUAGACUUUACAGUGAAAUGCUGAAUACAACAGGUGUAGACUUUACAGUGAUAUGCUGAAUACAACAGGUGUAGACUUUACAGUGAUAUGCUGAAUACAACAGGUGUAGACUUUACUGUGAUAUGCUGAAUACAACAGGUGUAGACUUUACUGUGAUAUGCUGAAUACAACAGGUGUAGACUUUACUGUGAUAUGCUCACUUACAAUCCCUUAACCAACAAUGCAGUUUUAAGAAAAUAUGGUUAAGAAAAUAUUUACUAAAUAAAAUAAAGUAAAACAUGUAUUAUAAAAAAGUAACACAAUAAAAUACCAAUAAUGAGGCUAUUAAAAGUGGGUACCGGUACUGAGUCAAUAUGCGGGGAUACAGGUUAGUCAAGGUAAUUUGUACAGUCGUGGCCAAAAGAUUUGAGAAUGACACAAAUAUUAAUUUUCACAAAGUUUGCUGCUUCAGUGUCUUUAGGUAUUUUUGUCAGAUGUUACUAUGGAAUACUGAAGUAUAAUUACAAGCAUUUCUGUCACGCCCUGACCUUAGAGACCCUUUUUAUAUCUCUAUUUUGGUUUGGUCAGGGCGUGAGUUGGGGUGGGCAUUCUAUGUUUUGUGUUUCUAUGAUUUUCUAUUUCUAUGUUUUGGCUGGGUAUGGUUCUCAAUCAGGGACAGCUGUCUAUCGUUGUCUCUGAUUGGGAACCAUACUUAGGUACCCUUUUUCCCACUUGUGUUUGUGGGAAGUUAACUUAGCCUUAAGCUUCACGGUUUGUUUUGGUAUGGUUUAUUGGCGACAUCUACUA